rnacentral:rRNA from 1 species
CCUACGGGAGGCAGCAGUGGGGAAUAUUGCACAAUGGGGGAAACCCUGAUGCAGCGACGCCGCGUGAGUGAAGAAGUAAUUCGUUAUGUAAAGCUCUAUCAGCAGGGAAGAAAAUGACGGUACCUGAGUAAGAAGCCCCGGCUAACUACGUGACAGCAGCCGCGGUAAUACGUAGGGGGCAAGCGUUAUCCGGAUUUACUGGGUGGAAAGGGAGCGUAGACGGCAGUGCAAGUCUGGAGUGAAAGGCGGGGGCUCAACCCCCGGACUGCUCUGGAAACUGUACGGCUGGAGUGCAGGAGAGGUAAGUGGAAUUCCUAGUGUAGCGGUGAAAUGCGUAGAUAUUAGGAGGAACACCAGUGGCGAAGGCGGCUUACUGGACUUUAACUGACGUUGAGGCUCGAAAGCGUGGGGAGCAAACAGGAUUAGAUACCCGAGUAGUC